UAUGAGACUUAGCCACAAGCAGGCAGGCAGACAGGCAUAAGCUGCAGUCCACAGCCUAUUCACAGGCAAAUAGCAUGCUGGUCGCUUAGAAGCUACAUAGAAGCCUCUCCUUGAAGCCAAAGUAUUGGUUUAGGAAACGAUACUUUUGUUUAUGGGAAAGGGAAAAGGAGACAACAGGAAGAAGGCUGAAGAUGCAGAUAAGAAAGGAUGAGCCUUAUUCUGGAACUUGUCACAUCAGUGUUGCUUCUUAGGUGAUUAAAAAGAAGCAGCGGGAUCUUGGAGAAAACGUCUGACAAAAGAACUUUGUACCUCCUGACUCAUUCAUUUUGUGGCUCCCUCUGGAUUGCACAUUUUGGCAUCCUUUGGAAGAUCCAGAAGUCCACAUGUUGGAUAUGAAUCUAGAGCUGUGGUUGCUGCAAAGUCUUGGUGAAAAUCAGAAAUGUACAACGGAAUGAGCACAGGCCCUGGUAUGAAGACACAGGAUGCUGAAUGCCAACUCCACUUAUGAGUUAGGACAGGACUGAGCGACUGAGCUGAACUGAACUGAGCCUUCAUCCAGUCAUUUAUGCUUCCAGAGCCCCAGUCUUUUCAUCUGUCAUGUGGGGGUUCAUCGUUAUGACCACCCUACCUCACCCUCACCAUCUAUUCUUCCCACUACUCUGCCCUCCAGUCAUAGGGAACUACUUGAAUUCUCCAACAGAUUCACCAUGUCAUAUUCUUCAAAUCCAGGAUCUUCUGAGAAGCCUUUCUGCUGCCUCAGUGGGCUUCAGUAGCAUCCAGUGUGGACCAACCAGAGCUGGACAGGGUCUACUCCGCAAAGGGAGAAGGUGGCCAGCAUUGACUUUGCUAGGUUGUUUUCCUCAUCUUUGUCCUUACCUGGACCUCUUAAUAGAAGACAAAAGGUAAUGCAAGAUAAACAUCCUCAGAGACAUCUUUUUGGUUUGGGUUUUCAUGGAUUGUGAUCACCAAAAGGUUCCUUACCUGCCUCUAGAGGAAAAAUGAUUGUUUUGGCCUCUACUGUCCAACCAACCCUUUAUGUCUUAGAGGACAGUGAUAGUUCAAAUGCAUAAUAGUGAUUUUCCAUUUCUUCUAAUUUUGGAUUUUGGCCCCUGGAGGUGAUGUUAAUACCCACGACCAAAUAGGAAUUUAUUGAUAUCAAUUUUCAUAAGUCACCUACCAAGUAUGCAUGCAAACCAGUAACCUGGAUGUUGGAGACAUAGUAUCCCAUCACUCAUCCCUAGAUCCAUAAUCUUCCUUUUCUCUGCUUGCCUCACCUUCCUUCCUCUGGGUAAUAAGUCAGACUGGUCUAAGUGUGCUGGUGCGUUUACUCAUUUAUUUAACCAACAUGUCUUUCUAUUAUAUGCCAGCCAGUGAACAGAGUAUUGGGGAUGCAAAACCCAACAAGUUGGGGUUGUUAUGUUACAGCUUCUAUUUUAGUAAAAUUAUAGACAAGUCAUUAGGCAGUUUUAAUCCAAAGUAGUAAGGGCUAUGGGAACACAUGUGAGGAAACCUAACCCAACCUUAAGGAACCUGGAAGGUUGAAAUCUCUUGCAGAGGACUGAAAGAGUGAGGGUGAGAAGGUGAGGGAAGGGGUGUGGAGGGGAGGGAAGGAGAGGAAUCGCAUUUGCUAAGGAGGGAGUAUUCCUAGAGCAUAGUCAGAGAAUAUUCCAAGGGAACAGGAAAACAGGGAAGUCUUCGGCUUGUUCUUUCUUUGAGAUUUGUUGGGGAUAUGGUUUUUCCAGUAUUUUGAAUCUAAAUUUGUUUCUGGGUGUGUGUGUGUGUGUGUACCUAUCUUCUUACCUCUUUUUACCUAUUUCCUGCCUAAUGGCCUCAGACCCAGAAAAAGAAGAAUUAAAUAGGGUAAGAUGUUGGGACUGGACCCAAAUAUGCUUUCAUUCUUCUACAAGUGCCUGAUUAUAGUUUCAGGGAGACAGUGAUUAAAGACACAAGGGGGACUGUGUCUACAUUUUAAGGCACCAACAUACAGGGGCAAAUGUACUCGAAAAUGACCGAUCAAAAAACAUGGCUCCUGAGGUACGUAUGCAGCUGUGACUGGCAAGAACAGAACAGUGAUUUUUGUGUCAAUGCAGGACAAAGUUGAAGUAACCUGGAAUAGACAAUUUUAUGAAACUUAUCUGGAAUUUCCAAGGAAGGCUCAGAUGAUUCAGAUGCAGAAGUCCACAGAGCCCAAUUUUAAGAAACAAUGCUCUGAGAGAAUCUGCUUAAAAUGAGAUGUUUAAUUUCCUUUUUUUUUUUUUCUGCGCCUCCAUGGAAUUGUUUUCCAUUCAUUUUUGGCUCUUCCUUAAGACAUUCCCACUUGAUGACAUAGAGAGAGCACAUUUGCAAAUCGCAUUCAGGGUGGUGAGAGAUAAUGAAAUUGAAGUGUCAGCAGUUUGCAAAAGGAAGCCUUCCCCCCCUCCCAAGCUCUGUUAUUACCUUAUUCAAUUUGCACUUUAUUUUGAAGCACAUGUAUAGAUAUAAGCAAAUUAUUAAUUCAAGCUUGUCUUCAAUUUUGUGCUUGGCCUGCAAACCUCUAACAUCUCUCCCAGUUCCCCAGGCAGACUGCUGAAGGCUUGGUGAUAGGCUGAGGCGGGCAUAUUCAUUAUUCAAUAUGAGCUGUAAGCAAUUUGAUAUUUCAUGUGCGCAUAUGGCAGAGCUGAGAGCAAGGUGGGAAAAGUGUCAUUCGGGGGAACGCGAUCUAGGCUGCUACCAUUUUCAUGUUUAGCUGAAGGCUUAACAUUAGCUAUGCUCAGAGGUUCCAAGGUUAAGGAUAAUUCCAUUGAGAAUCCUGGUUACAGCCAGGUAUUUGUGUCCCUGUGACACGGCCUAUUUCUCUGCACAGGAGAGCGCACCUUGAGCCAGGCCUUAUGCUCAGCAUCGCAGGUUUUGUGUGUUUCAUCUGGAGCGCUGAGAAUAAUGAGAUCCUGAGCAGGAAAGGGCAGAGUCCCUGGAAAGCAGCUACACUUGGUAGAGGUGGGGAAAUGCCCCCUGCUCCGAGGCUCUGGGAGCAUUUCUAGAUGGCAUCCAUGUCGUCCGUCAGCACCUCUGUCCCACUGGUGGGCACCCACAGUGUUUGAAAGAGUCCCGGACCUUAUGCAGGUUAUAGGAGAAAUGUGCCUACUGUCUUCCUUCCUCACACAGCUCAGAGUCUUUUCUCUUUCUCUGUAUUUGUAGGUUACCACUAGGCUCUAGGAUUAUAGAACAAAAAGGUCAGUUCAUUUCUUUCAAUGUCUCUGGUUUUACUAUUUGAAAACUUGGGGUUAGAGAAGUGAGGCGAUUUGUCCUGGGACAUGUAGCGAGUUAGAUACAGUCCAAGGGCCAGAACAAUUGAGUGAUCUUUUUCCUGAGAGAGCGAAUACCCUGGAACAUACUGAGAGCUCAGUUUAUAUGUGCCAACAUGAAGUCUUUUGUAAACUGUAAUAUUCUCUUCAAAAGUUCAGUCCAAGACAUGUUCAUUUUCAAAACCUUCAUCUUCAGACAUCAGCAAAUGCCUUCCUGGCUAUCUGAGAGCUCGUGCCUGCAACUUUUGGAGUUCUGGAAGCUGAAUCUGGUGCCUUCUCCUUCUCCCAUCCCUCCUGCUUUCAUCAUGUUUUGUGGGUGGAUGGCUCGGAUCUUCCAUGGUUGCUCUGUUAACUGAAUAAUAUCAGGGGUCACUUUGGAAUGAGAGCAAUCCUUAUGUCUAGAAUAAACAAUGUGGUUUCUUUAAGCAACAGAUCUGCAGUUGAUGGUCCAGGUUGCUCCUCUGACUCAUUUUGCUUACCAAAGACUGAAAUGCCUACUUAAUUGGCAAGUAAGGACACUCAGGGCAUAAAUAGUGCGGCUAAAUAAUACAGGAGACAGUGGUGUUUUAGGUGAACUGCUGGGGCAAAUUAACAUAGCACUCUAUUAGAGUACAGAGUGAAGUUAGAAAGAUGAAGACUUAAAAAUCUACUUUCCUUGGAGCAACGUUAAGGAGCUUUUGAAUUCCCAUUCUGUAUUUUCUUUAGCUCUCAUUUUUCACCCUAGUGCAUGCACACACACAUGCAGACACACACCAUACUCGCUCACACAACAUCUACACACAUACUCGCAUUCACACACACACACACACACACUUGCUCACACAGACCUCUGCACAUAUACUCACAUUAACACACACACAGUUGAGUCCAUUGUUAGACUCCAGAUGUGACUCUAAAGCAGUGGUUUUUCCAGUGUGGUCUGAGGAAACCUGUGGGUCUUGAGAUUCUUUCAGGGAUUCUGUAAAAUCAGGCUGUUAUUCUUAUAGCAUUAAAAUGUUGCCUAUCUUUCUGACUCUCAUUUUUCCAUAGUGUACAGUGUUUUCCAGAACACACACAACAGGAGCAGGUAUGAGAAUCUGGCAAUUUUCUCUUAAGCUAGACAUUAAGCAGAUUUGCAAAGAUGUAAAACAAUGCUGUUAUUCUUGGUAAAUUUUGUUUUAUUCUGUAAAAUGUAGCAAUUUUACAUAAAUAUAUGUCACCUAUAUAAAUAUGUAGUGGGUUUAUUAUUAUUAUUUUAAAAUGAACCAGCAAAUGUUUUAUACAUUUCUCAGUUUUAAUUUCUGGUAUGGUAAAUUUCAAUAGUCAUAACUCAUAUAAAUAAAAGUUCUUUGGAGUCUUGCAUAAUUUUUAAAAGUGCAGAGGGGUCCUGAGGCCAAGCAUUUAAAAAUCACUUCUCAAAAGUGAUGAGACUGUUUCUCUCUCUAACAGAUGCUGUAGCAUACAUCAAGUGAGGGUUUCUUCUUUCAAAACAGUCACUUUGAAAUCCUAUAUUCCUAGGUCAGUGAUGUCAUUGCUCAGUCAAUUUUUAAAUCUCCCAUUUUAGAGCUGUCUUGUUGGCUAGUUUUUUAUUUUAUCUUCAAACUUCAUUUUUGAUCCAUCAUGCUUAAUCUCCAUCAAUAAACUACAUUGCUAAUUAAACCAGGCUUCAAAUGACUUUGGACUCUUUGCAACAGUAAAAUCCAUCACUCAAGGUACCAGUAUCUGGACCAAGUAUCAGAAAGAUAUACCUGAGUUCAGAAUACAAUUCCUCAAAAGGAGCUACAAAAAUAUUUUGAUAAUAGCAGUAUCGUGGGAAUUUUAUAGCUUUCAAGGAUUCCGCUUUGAGAGAGAUACCUUCGUUGAGAAUGUUGAAGUCCUGCCAUAUUUGUUAAAACUUGAUUUCAUUAUUUUACUGUUUCAUCUCAUAGCUCGAAAAUAUAGGACAUACACCUAAACGUAGUUUGUAUUUUCAAACCAAGUGCAUAUUUCUAUACUAAAAUAAAAUUUUAUAAGCUGUCAUAUACCUUUUUGGUUGAGUAAUAACGGUAUCUUAUUUUCAGUGCUCUGUGAUAACCUUCAGACAGAUAAGUACAAGUGAAUGCCUUACCCCACUGAUGUCUCAUAGACCCUCCACUGGACAGGCAGUCUUCUGGUGCUACUUUUAUUUUUCCUUGGCUUCACCGAGUGGCUUAUGGGAUCUUAGUUCCCUCAGACGAGACUUAACCUGUACCGUGGCUGUGGAAGCACUGAGUUCUAAGCACUGGACUGCCAGGGAAUUCCCCUGUUGGUGCUAUUUUUAAAAGGAUGAAUUAUGUUUUUGGUAUUCAGGGGAGGCUUUCUGGUGUUAUAUUUUAGAACAGGUUGUACACUUUCUAGGAAAGAAAAAGAUGGAAGCACGCUUUGCAAAUCUUUUAGAAAAGAGAAAUCUCAGCAUUUCUUGUUAGAGUCAUCUUUCACUUGAUUGUGUAGCAUCAUUUGCAGGUGAAUUACCCAGGGGAGUUUUGGUGGUGUCCAGGAUAAGACUGAAGGGUUAAAUGCGAUCAUUACUCUGAACAAUGGAGGAUAACCUAUUGUGUCUUCUAGAGAGAGACACAGGGUAUUGAUCCAGUUCCGCUGUGCAGCACUUUGCUUUGCUUAUCAGUGAAUUUUAAACAGAAAACAUCUUGAAGAUGCAGGAGCAGAGGCAUUUUCAGAAACAUCAGGGAUAGGCAGGCUCUUGAGUUUACAGUGUAGGAGCCUACACCUACAUCACUGAAUUAUCUAAUGUUAGAGUUUUUUUUUUUUUUAAUAAUAGGAAACUACAUGGGUUGAUAGAUUAUAAACUGGCUCAUCCAUUUACAUGCUUCUCUUCACUUUCUCACUUCUCCCAUUGCAAUCUCUGGCACAUGUGAUUUACUUAGAGGUACUUGUAUAUAAUGUGUUCAGUGAACAUCCCUGAAAACAAAAGAGGAACAGCUGAACACUUCUUCCAGUGUUUCUUUUCUUGAAAGUAUUAUGUACAUUAGGACAAUUAUUUUGUGUGUCUAUAUAUCAUAUAUUUUGUAACCUUGUGUAUAUUAUGUUUUAUUACUUCACAGUGAGCACAGAAGCUCAGGUCAAGUACUAUGUUUAUAACCAAAGACUGAUGUCAGAGUUGAGAUUCAAACAGAGUCUUUUUGGCUCCAAAGCACAAACUCUUUGCAGUACAUCAAACCAGUUUUUCCUUCCCCAAUAAAAGAGUCAGUUGAGAUGGAAGUUUGUUGUUUUUUUUUUCUUUUAAAGUGAACUAGUUUAAGCAUUAUUCUGAAAAUUGUAUUAUGAUGAACUGUGAUGGUAUGUUAUGUUUCCCCAUAAUAUCCUGCUUAAAGUCAUGACUAGAUGGAUGAUAAUUGACUAAGGGGUGGGGAACCCAGAUCUUCCCCUGGGGAAGGAUCUGUGUUGGGCUGGAGAGGUGAGGCAGUAA